GGAGGAAAAGAAACUAACAAGGAUUCCCCUAGUAACGGCGAGUGAAGCGGGAAGAGCUCAAAUUUAAAAUCUGGCAGGCUACGCUUGUCCGAAUUGUAAUCUCGAGAAGUGUUUUCCGCGUUGGCCUGUGUACAAGUCCCUUGGAACAGGGCGUCAUAGAGGGUGAGAAUCCCGUCCUUGACACAGACACCCAAUGCUUUGUGAUACACUCUCAAUGAGUCGAGUUGUUUGGGAAUGCAGCUCAAAAUGGGUGGUAAAUUCCAUCUAAAGCUAAAUACUGGCGAGAGACCGAUAGCGAACAAGUACCGUGAGGGAAAGAUGAAAAGCACUUUGGAAAGAGAGUCAAACAGUACGUGAAAUUGUUGAAAGGGAAACGAUUGAAGUCAGUCGUGCCUGCCUAGAUUCAGCCUUCUGGUGUAUUUCUAGGUCGGCAGGUCAGCAUCAGUUUGGGGGGGUUAACAAGGGAGCUGGGAAUGUGGCAACCUCGGUUGUGUUAUAGCCCAGUUUCGCAUUGAUCUCGCUGGACUGAGGAACGCAGUGCGCCCGCAAGGGUUGGUCUUCGGACACAUUCGCACUUA
rnacentral:rRNA from 1 species